rnacentral:sRNA from 1 species
GCCGGGUUCAGUGGCGCAUGCCUGUAAUCCCAGAGGCUCAGGAGGCUGAGACAGGAGGAUCAUGAGUUCAAAGCCAGCCUCAGCAAAAGCAAGGCACUGAGCAACUUAGUGAGACCCUGUCUCUA